AAAAUGCUCCGCUGGUCACAGCUUGAUACGACCGCAGAGGUCGAACACUGAACAGUUGGGGCAAGUAUGGACACAACAUUCAAGCUUGAUACAGCACUGAAUUUGGAUUGUGAUUAAAUAUUUGACACAGCAUAGGUUUCUGACACAGAAUGAAUGUGGUCUAAGAACUUAAAAUUUUUUAAUUUACCUAUUCAAACCAUAUCAUUAUUAUUUGCUUUUAUAUAUAAAUCAGAAAUAACCAAUUUAAAAUGGAAAAUUUUAAAGAAAAAAAAGGAAAAAAAAAUCCCCCCCCCCCAAAUUUUUUGAACCCCCUUAUGAUUCAUCACCCCCAAACUCAAUCCCAGCCUUCCCUUUGUGGUAUGGUACCUUGCAGUAUAAUUUCAGAGAGAUCCAUACACUUGAACACAAGUUAUUGUCUGGAAACUAGAAAAAUGCUUGUUUUUUGGCCCCUUUUUGGCCCCAAAUUCCUAAACGUUUAAGGCAAUUACCCCCAAACUCAAACCCAGCUUUCCCUUUGUGAUAUGAAACCUUGCAGUACAAUUUCAUAAAGAUCCAUACACUUACACACAAGUUAUUGUCCUGAAACUAGAAAAAUGCUUGUUUUUUUUUACCCUUUAUGGCCCCUAAUUCCUACAAUUUGGAGGCAAUUACCCCCAAACUCAAUCCCAGCAUUCCCUUUGUGAUAUGGAACCUUGAGGUACCAUGUCAGAGAGAUCCAUACAAUUACACACAAGUUAUUGUCAUGAAACUAGAAAAAUGCUUGUUUUUUGCCCCUUUUUGGGCCCCUAAUUCCUAAAAUUUGGAGGCAAUUACCCCCAAAAUCAAUCCCAACAUUCCCUUUGUGAUAUGGAACCUUGUGGUACAAUGUCAGAGAGAUCAAUACACUAACACACAAGUUAUGUCUGGAAUUUACAAAAAUGCUUAUUUUUGGCCCCUAAUUCCUUAACUGUUGGUACCAUUACCCCCAAAACCAAUCCCAACCUUCCUCUUGUGGUCAUAAACCUUGUGUUAAAAUUUCAUAGAUUUCUAUUUACUUAUACUAAAGUUAUAGUGCGAAAACCAAAUGUCUUCGGACGACUACGAAGACGACGACAACGCCAACGUCAUACCAAUAUACGACCAAAAAAUUUUUAA